AUUGAACGCUGGCGGCAUGCUUUACACAUGCAAGUCGAACGGCAGCACGGACUUCGGUCUGGUGGCGAGUGGCGAACGGGUGAGUAAUACAUCGGAACGUACCCAGUAAUGGGGGGUAACUAUCCGAAAGGAUAGCUAAUACCGCAUACGCCCUACGGGGGAAAGAGGGGGAUCGCAAGACCUCUUGUUAUUGGAGCGGCCGAUGGCUGAUUAGCUAGUUGGUGAGGUAAAGGUUCACCAAGGCGACGAUCAGUAGCGGGUCUUAGAGGACGAUCCGCCACACUGGAACUGAGACACGGUCCAGACUCCUACGGGAGGCGGCAGUGGGGAAUCUUGGACAAUGGGCGCAAGCCUGAUCCAGCAAUGCCGCGUGCGUGAAGAAGGCCUUCGGGUUGUAAAGCGCUUUUGUCAGGGAGCAAAUCCUUGUGGCUAAUACCCACCGGGGAUGAGAGUACCUGAAGAAUAAGGACCGGCUAACUACGUGCCAGCCGCCGCAGUAA
rnacentral:rRNA from 1 species